rnacentral:rRNA from 1 species
GAUGAACGCUGGCGGCGUGCCUAAUACAUGCAAGUCGAGCGAACGGACGAGAAGCUUGCUUCUCUGAUGUUAGCGGCGGACGGGUGAGUAACACGUGGAUAACCUACCUAUAAGACUGGGAUAACGUCGGGAAACCGGAGCUAAUACCGGAUAAUAUUUUGAACCGCAUGGUUCAAAAGUGAAAGACGGUCUUGCUGUCACUUAUAGAUGGAUCCGCGCUGCAUUAGCUAGUUGGUAAGGUAACGGCUUACCAAGGCAACGAUGCAUAGCCGACCUGAGAGGGUGAUCAGCCACACUGGAACUGAGACACGGUCCAGACUCCUACGGGAGGCAGCAGUAGGGAAUCUUCCGCAAUGGGCGAAAGCCUGACGGAGCAACGCCGCGUGAGUGAUGAAGGUCUUCGGAUCGUAAAACUCUGUUAGUAGGGAAGAACAUAUGUGUAAGUAACUGUGCACAUCUUGACGGUACCUAAUCAGAAAGCCACGGCUAACUACGUG